UUCUUAUCAAGAGCAGGCGGAGGGACCAGCCCUAUGAAGCCCGGCAACCGACUUUUAAAAAAGCACGGUGCUAAUUCUUGCAGCAUUAUUUUUGCUGAGAGAUAAGAC
rnacentral:ncRNA from 2 species